rnacentral:rRNA from 1 species
AUUGAACGCUGGCGGCAGGCCUAACACAUGCAAGUCGAGCGGAUGAAGGGAGCUUGCUCCUGGAUUCAGCGGCGGACGGGUGAGUAAUGCCUAGGAAUCUGCCUUGUAGUGGGGGAUAACGUCCGGAAACGGGCGCUAAUACCGCAUACGUCCUGAGGGAGAAAGUGGGGGAUCUUCGGACCUCACGCUAUCAGAUGAGCCUAGGUCGGAUUAGCUAGUUGGUGGGGUAAAGGCCUACCAAGGCGACGAUCCGUAGCUGGUCUGAGAGGAUGAUCAGUCACACUGGAACUGAGACACGGUCCAGACUCCUACGGGAGGCAGCAGUGGGGAAUAUUGGACAAUGGGCGAAAGCCUGAUCCAGCCAUGCCGCGUGUGUGAAGAAGGUCUUCGGAUUGUAAAGCACUUUAAGUUGGGAGGAAGGGCAGUAAGUUAAUACCUUGCUGUUUUGACGUUACCAACAGAAUAAGCACCGGCUAACUUCGUG